GACAAUGUGGCUUGCCCCAACCCUUUCUCAGUUGUUCUUUUCAUAUUCUACUCCAAACAUAGCAGUGCCCCACUCUCAAAGAAAGAAGGAUUGAAUAUCACUUUUGGCCAUGGAGCGUGGUCUCAUCCCAGCAACCUGUCUUCAGUCAUGGAAAGUUCAGCUUUUGGAUCUUUUCAUCCAGUGGGAUUGGUCAACCUACCUUGCUGACUAUGGUCAGCCCAACUGCAAGUACCUCCGGGUAAACCCAGUGACUGCUCUGACCCUGCUUGAGAAGAUGAAGGAUACUAGCCGUAAGAACAACAUGUUUGCACAGUUUCGGAAAAAUGAGCGAGACAAGCAGAAACUCAUUGACACUGUGGCCAAGCAGCUCCGAGGACUCAUCAGCAGCCACCACUCAUGAAGGGUGACCCCGGACUCACAGAGGCGACCUGCUGCAGCCCCCUAGUCUGGGAUCCAGCCCCAGCUGACCCUGCAUUUGUGCAUUCUUCUUCAAAGAGAGCAUAUGUAUUUUUUUAUUAACCCCUGUGCAGUAUUCACAUAACAUUUCCCUAUAGUAAA
rnacentral:sRNA from 1 species